GACGAACGCUGGCGGCGUGCUUAACACAUACAAGUCGAACGGAAAGGCCCUGCUUUUGUGGGGUGCUCGAGUGGCGAACGGGUGAGUAACACGUGAGUAACCUGCCCUUGACUUUGGGAUAACUUCAGGAAACUGGGGCUAAUACCGGAUAGGAGCUCCUGCUGCAUGGUGGGGGUUGGAAAGUUUCGGCGGUUGGGGAUGGACUCGCGGCUUAUCAGCUUGUUGGUGGGAUAGUGGCUUACCAAGGCUUUGACGGGUAGCCGGCCUGAGAGGGUGACCGGCCACAUUGGGACUGAGAUACGGCCCAGACUCCUACGGGAGGCAGCAGUGGGGAAUAUUGCACAAUGGGCGGAAGCCUGAUGCAGCAACGCCGCGUGCGGGAUGACGGCCUUCGGGUUGUAAACCGCUUUCGCCUGUGACGAAGCGUGAGUGACGGUAAUGGGUAAAGAAGCACCGGCUAACUACGUG
rnacentral:rRNA from 1 species